GACGAACGCUGGCGGCGUGCCUAAUACAUGCAAGUAGAACGCUGAAGGAGGAGCUUGCUUCUCUGGAUGAGUUGCGAACGGGUGAGUAACGCGUAGGUAACCUGCCUGGUAGCGGGGGAUAACUAUUGGAAACGAUAGCUAAUACCGCAUAAUAGAAGAUGUUGCAUGACAUUCGCUUAAAAGGAGCAAUUGCAUCACUACCAGAUGGACCUGGGUUGUAUUAGCUAGUUGGUGAGGUAACGGCUCCCCAAGGCAACGAUCCAUAGCCGACCGGCGGGGUGGACCGGCAAAACGGGACUUGAGCAAGGCCCAGGCCCCCACGGGGAGCAACAGUAGGGGAUCAUCGGAAAUGGGCGGAAGGCUUGCCGAAGAACGCCGCGUGGGUGGAAGAAGUUUUCGGGUCGUAAAAGUCUGUUGUAAGGGAAGGAAGAGUAGGAGGGUGAAAAGUUCACGCUGUGACGGUAUCUUACCAGAAAGGAACGGCUAACUACGUG
rnacentral:rRNA from 1 species